rnacentral:rRNA from 1 species
UACGUAGGGUGCAAGCGUUAAUCGGAAUUACUGGGCGUAAAGCGUGCGCAGGCGGUUUUGUAAGUCUGACGUGAAAUCCCCGGGCUCAACCGGGGAAUUGCGUUGGAGACUGCAAGGCUAGAAUCUGGCAGAGGGGGGUAGAAUUCCACGUGUAGCAGUGAAAUGCGUAGAGAUGUGGAGGAACACCGAUGGCGAAGGCAGCCCCCUGGGUCAAGAUUGACGCUCAUGCACGAAAGCGUGGGGAGCAAACAGG